rnacentral:rRNA from 1 species
UACAUGUGGGGCAAGCGUUGUUCGGAAUUACUGGGCAUAAAGGGUGCGUAGGCGGUUUGUUAAGUCACUGGUGAAAGUUUUCGGCCCAACCGGAAAAUUGCCUGUGAUACUGGCGAACUUGAGUGCGUGAGGGUGGGGGAACGAGCAGUGUAGCGGUGAAAUGCGUAGAUAUUGCUCGGAAGGCCGGAGCCGAAGGGGCCCCACUGGUACGUAACUGACGCUGAGGCACGAAAGCGUGGGGAGCAAACAGGAUAGAAACCCCGGUA